rnacentral:ncRNA from 1 species
GUCAGGGGUGCUGAAGGAAUUCGGCUGAGAUUAAAGCUAUGCUGCUUUUAACCCUUUAACCUGAUAUGGGUAAUGCCAUCGUAGGAAGAUAAGC